rnacentral:lncRNA from 10 species
CUUCUGUUAGACAUGCCAGCAAUUAUUUGAAGAGACAUCUUUUGUUCCCCAAAUAUUCAAAAGCUAAGGUCCUUUAUAUUUUCUUCUAAUAGUAUAGUUUUGUAAUCUUUCUCCAACCUCUAUCUGGGCCUCAGUUGUCUAUACUAUCCUGAUCCGAGGCAGGCUGUCUGUUUCCUCGCUGUAUUAUUAUGUGCCUGGAGACUAGACAUUAUGCCUUCCUAUCUCUGCAUGAUGUUGGAGUUAUUGGAGCUCAGGAGUCUGGUUCUCUUACUCAGUUACCUAUAAGUAUGGCAAUGCUACUCAAAUGACUGAAGCAUUCUGGGUAUCAUUUCCUUACCUGUAAAAGGAGAAACUGAGGCUGCAGUUCUGAGGUGCAGGGGCUGAGAUGCUAGGGUUGCUUACAGCCCCCUUCCAGGUGGCCCAUUUCCUAGGCCACUUGUAGCAUGGCAGUUGACUUCUUCAAGGUCCGCAGGACUUGUGGUGUUCUACUAUAAGGACUACAUCUCUGUAGCAGGUGGAUGAACACAUUCAGCUUCCAUUACAUGCUGCCGGGCCUGUACUCGACUCUGGACUGUACUCUGGAAACUUCAGGAGGCUCGACUAUUUAAGAAAGCCCACAAGAGAAUAUCCUGGGGCUGGCAACAGGGAACCAGUGUUAUUUAAUGGAAAGACUUUCAAGAACUUUGAGCAAGAGGAUGUUUAGCGAGGAUAUGCUUUCCUGAAAACAAUAUCUAUUGGCUCUCCGUCUGUUCUUUAAAACCACAGAGAACUAGCCCAUCCUCUUCUCUAUUGGGUGAUCUCCUAGGUCCAUGAAGACUGCUAUUGUUUCUAGCUUCUGUUUUUUUCAUCCAUGCUAAAUGUCUCCAGAUCUAUAAGCUGUCUCUCAAAUGCUAGCCUGUUUAAUUUUCCCUUACCAUCUGGUGGUCAGAACUGAAUUUGAAUUCUAGGUGCAUUUUGGCAUAAGCAAGAAAGAAUGGACCCAAUUUUCUUACAUAUAAAGUGAGCUGGGAAGGUGGGGUUGG